UUGGAAUUCUACAAAAUGUCGGGUGUAGUACCCACAGCCCCUGAACAGCCUGCAGGUGAAAUGGAAAAUCAGACAAAACCACCAGAUCCAAGGCCUGAUGCCCCUCCUGAAUACAGUUCUCAUUUUGUACCAGGACCCCCUGGAACAACUGUCCCUCCAGAUGCAGGCUACCCAGGAGGCUUGCCUAUGGCAUACUACAGUCCACAGCAACCCGGGACCUUCCCUUCGUACCAGCCAAUUGGUGGUACCCAUCCUGUCUGUUAUCAGCCUGGAAAAUAUCCUGUGCCAAGUCAGCCUGUUCCAGUAACAUGGAUGCCAGGGCCAACUCCUAUGGCUAACUGCCCUCCUGGUCUGGAAUACUUAGUUCAGUUGGACAACAUACAUGUUCUUCAGCAUUUUGAGCCUCUGGAAAUGAUGACACAUUUUGAAACUAAUAAUAGAUAUGAUAUUAAAAACAACUCAGACCAAAUGGUUUACAUUGUAACUGAAGACACAGAUGACUUUACCAGGAAUGCCUAUCGGACACUAAGGCCCUUCGUCCUCCGGGUCACUGAUUGUAUGGGCCGAGAAAUCAUGACAAUGCAGAGACCCUUCAGAUGUACCUGCUGUUGCUUCUGUUGCCCAUCUGCCAGACAAGAGCUGGAGGUACAGUGUCCUCCUGGUGUCACCCUUGGCUUUGUUGCAGAACACUGGAACCUGUGCAGGGCAGUGUACAGCAUCCAAAAUGAGAAGAAAGAAAAUAUGAUGAGAGUGCGUGGGCCAUGCUCAACGUAUGGCUGUGGUUCUGAUUCUGUUUUUGAGGUCAAAUCCCUUGAUGGUGUAUCCAACAUCGGCAGUAUUAUCCGGAAGUGGAAUGGCUUGCUGUCAGCAAUGGCAGAUGCUGACCAUUUUGACAUUCACUUCCCAUUAGACCUGGAUGUGAAGAUGAAAGCCAUGAUUUUUGGUGCUUGCUUCCUCAUUAGGAAGAGCAAACCUCAUCAAGAGGUGAUCGUACAAGAAGAUGAAGUGCUAUAAGGAGUUUCUUUCCCUGCUAUACUUGUAAUGAAGGAAAACCAAAGAGUUGAAUAAAAGCUUCCACAUUCAGUCUCUUCUUAUCCAGCUCUACUACCCAAGAAACUCAUGCUUUUCCAGCCCAAGCCAGCCAAGUCAUGAAACAUCCAAGUUAACCUCUUACUCCCUGGACUUGGAAACCUUUUGUUGUUUCUGUUUGUUCUGAAGCCCUGGGUCCAUGCUCAGAGGAUUAAAUUGUUCUUUACAUUGAACUCCAAUUAAUAGUUUUCUUGUCUGGAACUCAGGCAGUUUUAAACCAUGGCCAAAAAUUAUUUGACACUACUCCUAGCGAGAGAUGGGGGUCUUUGUUCCCUCCCCUUGAAUAUAGCUAGUCUUGUGAUUGUGACUGUUUCAACCAGGUGAGCGUGAUGGAAACGACAGUGUGGCUUAUGAAGCUAAGAUAUGAAUGGCAGUGCAGUUUCAAGCUUGUUCCUGGGACACUCACUGUUGGAGCUCUAAGCCACCAUGUAAAGCCUGAACACCUUGAAGCUGUCUGCUGUGAAUUAGCUCAGGCUCCCUGGAGAGACUAUGCAUAGGCACUGAGCCCCACCAUGAGUGAAUGAGCCUUCAGCUGAUUCCAGCUCUUUCAGUUUUUGCUCGGCCUUUGAAUCUUCCUGGCUGAUGCCACAGACAAGGAGAAGCAGGGUGAAGCUGUUUUUACUGUGCAUUUUCUGAAUUCCUGAGGCCAGACUCUGUGAGCUUAAUAAAAUGGUGGUUGUAAGUGGCACUGCCAGAUUUUGGGGUGAUUUGUUACACAGCAAUAGUAACCAAAACAGGAUAUUUGAAUCCAACUUGAGCCAGACUUCUUAAAAAUGACUGAAGUCAGCUAUUUUUUUCUGUGGUCCUGGAGCUAAAUGCAACUAUUCUCUCAGGCUAACAUGCUCUUCCCAAAUGUUCCAUUAACUCAAGCAGCCUGAAGGAGGAACUGCUUCCUAUCACAGAUAUGCUCAAGGAGGCCCUAUACAUAGUUAGAGAUUUCUCUUGGUAAGUCAUAUCCUUAUAUGUGAAACUUCUGGAUCCUGGGAUUAAAGAACUCAAUUUGCUUUGCUUUCCACUUUCUAGAAAUUUUCUUACUUCUUAAAAAGCGUGAAUGAGCUUGUCUCCUGGUCCAAUUUGGAUUUAGCCGAAGACUCUAACCUGAAUGUUUUCUUCAUCAGGACCUAAGGACACAAACACCCUGAAUGUGAGACGCCAGAAGGGAGGACAAAGUAAAGGUAGACAACAUGAAUAUAAAUUGAAAGCACAGGAGAAAAAUCAGAACUAAAAGGAAAUGUUAAUAUAUAUAUAUAUAUAUAUAUAUAUAUCAUUCUUUUUCAUUUACUGUGUGCCAUUAUGUUACAUGUAUGAUGUCAUCUCGACAUAACAGUUCUAAUGAUGUAGGUAUUUUAUUAUACCCAUGAUAAAAGGAGGCCUGUAUCUUUCUUAAGGUGGGCAGAGCUUAUAGUUGUACAUAUUAGUCUCACACCAGAUCCUGCUCUCUUAAUCUUUAGGCCCUAUAGUCUAGAAAUAAUCAAACUUAAUUUUAUACUAAUAUUAAAGUGUUAUUUGCCUUUUUUCAACUCUCAUUAUCCCAUGAGUAUGUGGGGGAAUUUUCCAGCAUAUAUUUGGAAGCCGUACAUACCUGAGUCAAUAUAUUAGAAACUUUCAAUGCACAAAGUUACAAAAUGAUGUGAAAGAUCCACUCAAAGUGCUAUAUACAUGAAUGGAUUUUAAUGCAACAGAGUACCAAAUACAGAUUUCACAUCACAAGUAACCCUUCCGAAACUCACUUUUCAAAUUUUGGUAUGUCAUCAAAGAAGACUAUCCACAAUGAUCUGAAAAGGCUGUUAAAAUAAUCCUGUCUAGUUUUUUUGUUGUUGUUGUUGUUACAUAUUUGUAUGAGGCUAGAUUUCUUCAUAUACUUCAAAAACCCCACAAGGAAUUAAACACAGAAGAUAUGAGCAUAGCAGUGUCCUGUUAACCCAAAUAUUAAAGAAAUUUGCCAUUCUUUUUACUAAAUGUUUUGUUAUAAAAAUAUAGUUAUUUUGGCUAUGUUAUUGAUGUUACCAUGUUAGCAUUGUUAUUUUAAAAUGAAUAAAUUUUAUUUAAAUAUCUGUUUUAAGUUUGAA